rnacentral:rRNA from 1 species
GGGGAGAAUGAGAGUUCUACCAUUGAACUGAAUGACUCCUUUGAUGAGACCAGCAUGCGUUUUGUGCGGCGCAUCCAGGAGUCUGAGGUGAAGGAGGCUUUAAAAAGGAUGAAAGGAGGCAAGGCGAUGGGCCCUGAUUGUAUCCCCAUUGAGGUGUGGAAAGGUCUCGGGGACAUAGCGAUAGUAUGGCUAACCAAGCUUUUCAACCUCAUUUUUCGGGCAAACAAGAUGCCAGAAGAAUGGAGACGGAGUAUAUUAGUACCAAUCUUCAAGAACAAGGGGGAUGUUCAGAGUUGUACUAAUUACCGUGGAAUUAAGCUGAUGAGCCAUACAAUGAAGCUAUGGGAGAGAAUCAUUGAGCACCGCUUAAGAAGAAUGACAAGCGUGACCAAAAAUCAGUUUGGUUUCAUGCCUGGGAGGUCGACCAUGGAAGCCAUUUUCUUGGUACGACAACUUAUGGAGAGAUAUAGGGAGCAUAAGAAGGACUUGCAUAUGGUGUUCAUUGACUUGGAGAAGGCCUAUGAUAAGAUACCGCGGAAUGUCAUGUGGUGGGCCUUGGAGAAACACAAAGUCCUAGCAAAGUACAUUACCCUCAUCAAGGACAUGUACAAUAAUGUUGUGACAAGUGUUCGAACAAGUGAUGUCGACACCGAUGACUUCCCGAUUAAGAUAGGACUGCAUCAGGGGUCAGCUUUGAGCCCUUAUCUUUUUGCAUUGGUGAUGGAUGAGGUCACAAGGGGUAUACAAGGAGAUAUCCCAUGGUGUAUGCUCUUUGCGGAUGAUGUGGUGCUAGUUGACGAUAGUCGGACGGGGGUAAAUAGGAAAUUAGAGUUAUGGAGACAAACCUUGGAAUCGAAAGGGUUUAGGCUUAGUAGAACUAAAACCGAGUACAUGAUGUGCGGUUUCAGUACUACUAGCUGUGAGGAGGAGGAGGUUAGCCUUGAUGGCCAGGUGGUACCUCGGAAGGACACCUUUCGGUAUUUGGGGUCAAUGUUGCAGGAGGAUGGGGGUAUUGAUGAAGAUGUGAACCAUCGAAUCAAAGCCGGAUGGAUGAAGUGGCGCCAAGCUUCUGGCAUUCUCUGUGACAAGAGAGUGCCACAAAAGCUAAAAGGCAAGUUCUACAGGACGGCGGUUCGACCCGCAAUGUUGUAUGGCGCGGAGUGUUGGCCGACUAAAAGGCGACAUGUUCAACAGUUAGGUGUGGCGGAGAUGCGUAUGUUGAGAUGGAUGUGUGGCCACACGAGGAAGGAUCGAGUCCAG